AUUGAACGCUGGCGGCAGGCCUAACACAUGCAAGUCGAACGGUAACAGGAAGCAGCUUGCUGCUUCGCUGACGAGUGGCGGACGGGUGAGUAAUGUCUUGGAAGCUGCCUGAUGGAGGGGGAUAACUACUGGAAACGGUAGCUAAUACCGCAUAAUGUCGCAAGUCCAAAGAGGGGGACCUUCGGGCCUCUUGCCAUCGGAUGUGCCCCGAUGGGAUUAGCUUGUUGGUGGGGUAACGGCUCACCAAGGCGACGCUCCCUAGCUGGUCUGAGAGGAUGACCGGCCACACUGGAACUGAGACACGGUCCAGACUCCUACGGGAGGACGCAGUGGGGAAUAUUGCACAAUGGGCGCAAGCCGGAUGCAGCCAUGCCGCGUGUAUGAAGAAGGCCUUCGGGUUGUAAAGUACUUUCAGCGGGGAGGAAGGGAGUAAAGUUAAUACCUUUGCUUAUUGACGUUACCCGCAGAAGAAGCACCGGCUAACUCCGUG
rnacentral:rRNA from 1 species